CCAGCCCGCUCAGAAACUCAAAUGAAUUGACGGGGCCCGCACAAGCGGUGGAGUAUGUGGUUUAAUCGAUGCAACGCGAAGAACCUUACCUGGUCUUGACAUCCCGGAGACCCUUAGGAAACUAGGGGGUGCUUCCAUCUGGAAGAAUCUGGAGACAGGUGCUGCAUGGCUGUCGUCAGCUCGUGUCGUGAGAUGUUGGGUUAAGUCCCGCAACGAGCGCAACCCUUGCCUUUAGUUGCCAGCAGUUCGGCUGGGCACUCUAAAGGGACUGCCGGUGUUAAACCGGAGGAAGGUGGGAUGACGUCAAGUCCUCAUGGCCUUUAUGACCAGGGCUACACACGUACUACAAUGGCCGAUACAAAGGGCAGCGACACUGCGAGGUGAAGCCAAUCCCGUAAAAUCGGUCUCAGUCCGGAUUGGAGUCUGCAACUCGACUCCAUGAAGUUGGAAUCGCUAGUAAUCGUGGAUCAGCAUGCCACGGUGAAUACGUUCCCGGGCCUU
rnacentral:rRNA from 1 species